rnacentral:misc_RNA from 1 species
AGUCAGGCAAAAAAUUUAGAAAUCAUACUCCAUUGUGAUUUGAGUGCUAGCAGUGAUCAAGUUAAUGAGUGCUUUUGUUUAAAAGUUUCAAAUUAUUUAAGACUAGGUAUUAAAUUUUUUGGAACAUAUUUGAAAAAGGAUAAAUUAAGUCAUUAGUUCCAAUUUUUAAGGACCAAGGUUUUCAUAUUUUGUUUAAGAUUAUCCUAUUUACAUUGUUUAUUAUAUUUUGAUAUUUGUAUGCAAUUUAUAAUAAAUAUUUCAAGCGCUU